rnacentral:rRNA from 1 species
AUAGGGGAGCCGAAGGGAAACCGAGUCUUAACUGGGCGUUAAGUUGCAGGGUAUAGACCCGAAACCCGGUGAUCUAGCCAUGGGCAGGUUGAAGGUUGGGUAACACUAACUGGAGGACCGAACCGACUAAUGUUGAAAAAUUAGCGGAUGACUUGUGGCUGGGGGUGAAAGGCCAAUCAAACCGGGAGAUAGCUGGUUCUCCCCGAAAGCUAUUUAGGUAGCGCCUCGUGAAUUCAUCUCCGGGGGUAGAGCACUGUUUCGGCAAGGGGGUCAUCCCGACUUACCAACCCGAUGCAAACUGCGAAUACCGGAGAAUGUUAUCACGGGAGACACACGGCGGGUGCUAACGUCCGUCGUGAAGAGGGAAACAACCCAGACCGCCAGCUAAGGUCCCAAAGUCAUGGUUAAGUGGGAAACGAUGUGGGAAGGCCCAGACAGCCAGGAUGUUGGCUUAGAAGCAGCCAUCAUUUAAAGAAAGCGUAAUAGCUCACUGGUCGAGUCGGCCUGCGCGGAAGAUGUAACGGGGCUAAACCAUGCACCGAAGCUGCGGCAGCGACACUGUGUGUUGUUGGGUAGGGGAGCGUUCUGUAAGCCUGUGAAGGUGUGCUGUGAGGCAUGCUGGAGGUAUCAGAAGUGCGAAUGCUGACAUAAGUAACGAUAAAGCGGGUGAAAAGCCCGCUCGCCGGAAGACCAAGGGUUCCUGUCCAACGUUAAUCGGGGCAGGGUGAGUCGACCCCUAAGGCGAGGCCGAAAGGCGUAGUCGAUGGGAAACAGGUUAAUAUUCCUGUACUUGGUGUUACUGCGAAGGGGGGACGGAGAAGGCUAUGUUGGCCGGGCGACGGUUGUCCCGGUUUAAGCGUGUAGGCUGGUUUUCCAGGCAAAUCCGGAAAAUCAAGGCUGAGGCGUGAUGACGAGGCACUACGGUGCUGAAGCAACAAAUGCCCUGCUUCCAGGAAAAGCCUCUAAGCAUCAGGUAACAUCAAAUCGUACCCCAAACCGACACAGGUGGUCAGGUAGAGAAUACCAAGGCGCUUGAGAGAACUCGGGUGAAGGAACUAGGCAAAAUGGUGCCGUAACUUCGGGAGAAGGCACGCUGAU